rnacentral:lncRNA from 1 species
GCCCACGAACACUGAGGCCCAUUACUAUAAAUUUAAUUAAACCCUAGCAAAAGAGAUUUGCUUUCCUUUUUUGCUACCUCGUAUCGAACUCUGCUUCUCUCCUAAUUCUUCACUUUCUUUUUUAUAAUUAUCUGAAUUUUUUCACUCCUUCCCCAAUUUCUUUUGCAUUUUAUCUAUAAUGCGUGUUUCGCUGCAGUGAUGAUUCAAAUUGUGGACUAGAGUUUCCGAUCUGGGUCUCAAGCCCCAGAAGUUGAAGACUAACCCUUGGCUGUCUGAGCAUAAACACGUAAGGUCAAUUCCUUUUCCUUAAAGAAUAUGUGUAUUUUUUGAAAUUGAUUUGUUGUAUGAUUAUAUCAUUUUCAUAGAUUUUUUAGAUCGAUUUUUAUGAUUAUCAAUUGGCUUAUGAUGAUAAAUGAAGUAUCUUAGCGGAUUUCAAUGAGAUUUUAUAAAUCAAUGAUCUGGUUGUUACACACACUGAAGCCUCCCCUGUCAAUUAUUAUAUAUUUUCUGAAAUCCUCACUAUUUUCGAAAAUGAAAUGCUUUUUGUUCAUAAUUUGUGCUAUGAAGAGGUAAGGCACCAAUUGGUGUUUUUUGGGCAGUGGUUUAUCCGUGAGCCCAAUUAAUUAACGACUUCUCCUUCCACUGAGCAUUUGAAUAUUGAUUUAAUUUAUAUUUAUAUAUAAUCAAUUAAUUGCAUUAUCUUGUGUAUAAUUGAUUAUUUUCGUGAUUUGCAUCCGUUAGCAAUUUUGAUCAAUGGUGAUUCAAUGCCAUUAGAUGGCGGAAACGCAUGGUAUAUUUAAAUCAUCAGUUUGAAAUUUAAUUCAUCAGUUAGGGUUUGUUGAGUAUUUGCUUCUGUUUGGCAUUGCGUUUACUGGUAAUUCUCAGCGACAAACUGCAUUUCAAUUGUAGUUUGUUCAAUAAUUUGGAAUGCACUGUGACAUUUGAAUUGUGCGUUAAACUUUGAUGUACCCCUUUAUGCAGAAGGGAUAGUUGCUUCUUAAUGGUGAACUCUUUUCUUGAUUGUAAUAGGAGAGUUCAAGUUUCCCGAAGCAUAUAUGAAAUUGACAGUUUUAAACAGCUCGAUGUUCUUAAUGUAUGGCAUCGUGUUACCUGUCUGCUGCUACAUUUUAAUUUCAGUCAAAAAUGAUACUUGGAAUAGGAGAACCAGAAAAUUAUUUUAUAGAAUUGUGAAGAUGGAACAUUUGGCAAAACUACAGUGGGGAAAUGGAGUAAAUUGCGAAAUGUAAGUUGGAAAUUGGGAUAAAGGAUAAAGCAUUCUACUUGGAAAUGAAAUAAAUUGUGAGAUAUCAGUUUUAUGUUGGAAAUUGGGUCUAAAGUUCUACCUUUAAAUGGUAAGAAGACAUUCCUUGUAUGGGAGCUUUUUUUAGCGAAUUUUCAGCAAAAAAUUGACUGUUAUAAAGUACAAACGGUCCUAUCCAGUCGUGAUAAUUAAUCAUCUUAAAAUGGUAUAACCAAAAAUGCCCUUUGUACUAUGUUGUAGGGUGGGGUGGGGUCUUUAUGGAGAGCUAUUGAAGUAAUAUCAAGUGUACGAAUUGGAGAAAGUAAGUCUAUGGGAUCGUGACUACCGUGUAACUGUUAAAUUUUUAUAAAAAAUCGCUCCUCUAUAGGGGCUAAAUUUUUUUAGGUUCAUUAAUGAUUAAUUUGAAAAAAUAUUCUUAAUUGUUUGGCAAAUUACUGAGUUUAGGCUCUUUCUUAUGAGGGCUUAGUAAUUGUGUGGAUUAAUAUGUAUGUAAUUGUGGGUCUCAUAACUUAUAAGUUAAGAAGUUAGUUGGCUUGUAAGUGGUGAGGUUCAUAAUUUUGUGCAUUUUCUUCUACAUAGUUUGCACGAGGCUUAUGAGAAAGUGUGUAGUCAGUCAAACAUAAACAAUGAUCUGACUUUUGGAGUUGCAUUGAUUUCCUAUUCAUAGUACGUAGGACAUAAAUUGUCUGUUGGUGAUGUGGCAACAUGUGUGUUGUCGCAUCAUUGAUGUGCAACAUAUUUCAUUCUCAUUAUGGUAGGAAAUUAGUUCUGUGUAUUAUAAGCUUUAAAAAUUUAUUUUCUAAAUAUCUUUAACCUUCACUACCACUGACAUGUUUUUGGUGGCUUGUCUUGAAGAUAAGCUUUUAUUAUAAUUUUUUUUUAAUUGUUUUAACUAAAUAAACAAAUUUCUUUUUUUUUUUCCUUUUAUGUUUUAGUUUAAAAUUCUUUAAUUAAAUAUUUUUCGUAAACAAAUAUUCCAUUUUUCCAAUCUUAAUUAAAUAAUAUUUAUAUUUUUUAUUUAAUUUUAAUGAUUUCUUUUUGUUUAAAUUUGUAUAUAUAAUAUUUAUAUUGUAGAAUAAUAUUUAUUAUAGAAUAAUCUUUAAAAUGAAUCUACGCUUGCAUAUAGUAGUUAUGAUUUGGUUCGCUUAAUUUUCUGUUAUUAUACUUUAUUCUAUUAUCUCUUGCACAAUGCUUUAACAUUUUGAAUUUUUGCAGGAUGAAUUAUCAUCUAGAUGUAGAGUUGAGACGGAUGCCGGGAAAAGCUACGUGGAACAGUAGCUUUGACAGUUUCACGACUGUAUUGGAGCUACUCGAUGAUCAGCAUGCAGAUAUAUUGCGUCAGUCCUUUCUUUGGCCUCUGUACCAGUUGAGAGAGGUGCAGUACUUAGGGCAGAUUAUCGAUGCACUUUUAUGUCGGUUGCUGAGUCGAGUCGACGGCGAUGCCUUCCACUUCGAUCUCGGGGGCAAAGUCGUCAGUUUUUCGAUGUUCGAGUUUGCACUGGUCACUGGAUUAAAGAUUACGGGCGAUGAAGCAGCUAGUAAAGAGAUUCAGAGAAGAAAUAGGCUACACGAUGCUUACUUUCAGGGACAGGGAGCGAUUAUUCUACCGCAGCUGAUCGACGCAAUCAGGAGGUGUGAUCAGAUGCUAGAUAGACUGAAGUUAGGUCUGGUUUACAUCCUUGAGAGCGUGUUGCGGUGUCACCAUAAGAAGACUGCGAUCGACAUCUUCCAUCUGGAGAUCGUCGACGAUAUUGAUCGCUUCAACAACUAUCAUUGGGGUCGGAGAUGUUUCGAGGAUACUGUACACGUGUUCACUAGAUCACACUCGAAGCCCAAGGGGUUUGUGCGUAAAUACGACACUUAUGGGUUGCCCUUGGCACUGCAGGUAAAUGAUUAACAUAAUCAAUAUUAAAAUAUUUUUAUAUUGAAUUUGUAUAUAAUAAUUGUAUGUGUUGUAGAUUUGGGCUUAUGAGACCGUUCCUCUAUUGGGUACUCGCUUUGCGAAGCGGGGGGGGGGUAUACGUUGCCCUCGAAUGUACCAUUGGCGAGCAUCUCGAGCAGAAGGAUGUCCAACUGGGAAACAAUUAUCGGCUCUUCUCGACGACCCUCAUGUGAGUAUUAUACAUUUGUGAUUUAUAUUGUACGUAGUUUAAAAUCUCAUUACAUGAUUGUAACGAUUUGAAUUGUUAAUAUGUCAGCUUGAAGUAAUAACUGAUUUGACACUGUCGAUGGAGGAGGAGGCUAAGGGUCUGGUGCAUGAAUUACCCAUUUCGCACACUCAAGACGAUCAGAUGUCCGAUUCGGUCCACGAUCGAGAUUGGGUACGUGAAUUGAAUAUAAUUUAUUGAUUACCGUUUUGUAUGAGUUAGCAAUUAUUGAUUAAGUUAAUAAUUUGUAAUAUUUGUGUUGGAGUACGGUUCAGUUGAUCGACGAUUGCCUCCGCCACGGGCAUCACCUCCACCCAGGGCAUCACCUCCAUCCCAGUCCAGAGACCUUCCUCGUGAAUUUCUUCCACGUAGUCAAGGUCAUUAUUUCGAUGAUCUGUAUGCUCGUCUGACUGGAUUUAUGGCGCAGGAGCUCGGCGUGCUACGUCGAGAGAUGAUAGAGAGGGUCGACAAUUUGGGACGACAGUUGGUAGGAAGGGUUGAAGAUUUAUCCGAUGAUGUUAGAGUGCUGCAUAACCAUUACGUGGACCUUCACGAUGAUAUUGUAGCACUCCGAGGUGAUAUAGCCGACAGACGAUUGAGUUGGCGAGCCUGGAGGAGGUGAUGGUCGCCGAGGCGGAGGAGAAGAGGACAACCGCUGUGACUAAAGCUAAAAAGCGUAUUGUUGACGUGUCAGAGCUGUUGGUCGACAAAGAGGUCGAGAGUGUCGUCACAGUACAUCGUCUCUCCUUUCACAACUGAGACGAAAAGCAGUUUCGUCGAUGGGACGUAGCUCAAUCUGUUUCGGGAGGUUGAACAGGCCAAAUGAAAAGUAUUCGAGAUUGAGUGGCGAAGAAUUUUGCCCAGGUAAGUAUUGUAUGAUUUUAGUAGAUCACGAUAACUCGUAUAUGCUUCGUUUAACAUUUUAUCUAUUUAUUUAGAGUCAGCCGUAUGAUAGUUGGAAGGAUGAUAUUGGACACAUAUAAGUGGUUUCAUGAUAUCACCACUCAGGGGACUUGGCUCGCCGACUACGUAAGUAACUCAUAUUGUUACUUUUUUUUAUACUUUAUGUUUGAUUUAUUAAAUGAAAUACCUCUCAUUUUUUUUUGUUUUUCUUAAUGCAGCACAUCGACAUGAUCAUAGGCUUUCUAUGCGAUCGAGCUAAGAGAUAUCCACGAUUAUUCCAAAUUCCUGGUCAAAUAAUACUGAAUAUCGAGUUCUUCCGUGCCGUUAUAAUUAAAUAUCAGGUGCUCCAACUUAUAGGUAAUGAGACAUGCUGUCUGGGUAUAUAUUCAAAUGCGUUAUCAAGCGAUCACCGAGUGUUGUGUAAAAGUCAUAGGAGGGUUAUACGCAUAUGUACAUUUCAGUGAUCGUGAAUCAUCACUGCAUUGCUCUGGAUAUCAUAUUUGUUGACUCGACGUUAUAUGUGUAUGAUCCCGAUCAUUUAUGUCUAACACAAUGGCAGCUAGAGCUGAACUUGGAGCCGGUAAUUAUGAACGUUAAUCUGAUGGCUAGAAAGGCGGGCUUGACUGUGCAGGACAAACUAGCCAUCGUGCGGUCAACGACGAUGUGACAAUCUAUAUCGUAAGUGUUUGUCAAUUAUUUUUAAACAUAUAAAUUAGUUUUUACGUAGUUGGAAUCAAUUAACACAUUAUUGUUCAUUUGUGGGGGGACUGUGGCAUUUUGACUAUCAAGUACAAUAAAUUUUUUAGUAUAGCACAUAAGAUUAAUGGAAUCAACUAGUCAUGAAUACAGAAUUUGCGAAAUAAGUUAGCGUGCGAUUUAUACGAAUUUGAUUGUGAUCCAUAAAUUAUUUGUAAUUAUUCAUUCUUAUUAUUUGUAAUUAUUUUUUGAUUUUUUUGUAAUUUAAUUUUUUUGUAAUUAUUUUUUGUAAUGUAUAGCCAUUAAUUUUUUUUUUUUUGUGAUAUGAAACAAUUGCUUAUUUAAUUACGACGUAAUUUUGAAUAUUGUAAAAUAAAUGUAAAUAUUGUUUAAUUCAG